rnacentral:sRNA from 1 species
GCCAGGCAUGGUGGCGCACACCUGUAAUCCCAGUGGCUUGGAGGUUGAGGCAGGAGGAUCUCGAGUUCAAAGCCAGCCUCAGCAAUUGCAAGGUGCUAAGCAACUCAGUGAGACCCUGUCUCUA